rnacentral:rRNA from 1 species
AUUGAACGCUGGCGGCAUGCCUUACACAUGCAAGUCGAACGGCAUCACGGGGGCAACCCUGGUGGCGAGUGGCGAACGGGUGAGUAAUUCAUCGGCACGUGCCCAGUAGUGGGGGAUAACCAGUCGAAAGACUGGCUAAUACCGCAUACGACCCAAGGGUGAAAGCGGGGGAACGUAACGCCUCGCGCCAUUGGACCGGCCGAUGUCUGAUUAGCUAGUUGGCGGGGUCAGAGCCCACCAAGGCGACGAUCAGUAGCUGUUCUGAGAGGACGAUGAGGCACACGGGGAAUGGGACACGGCCCAGGCGCCUGCGAGGGGAAGCAGUGGGGAAAUUUGGACAAUGGGGGAAAGCCUGAGCCAGGCAUGCCGCGUGAGGGAAGAAGGUCUUCCGGAUUUAAACCGCCUUUGGCAGGAACGAAACGGCGUAGGCCAAUACCUUGCGCUAAUGACGGUACCUGCAGAAGAAGCACCGGCUAACUACGUGCCAGCCGCCGCCGUAAAAC